rnacentral:SRP_RNA from 1 species
GCCAGGCGUGGUGGUGCACGCCUGUAAUCCCAGCUACUCAGGAGGCUGAGGCAGGAGAAUCGCUUGAACCCGGGAGGCAGAGGUUGCAGUGAGCUGAGAUCGCGCCACUGCACUCCAGCCUGGGCAACAGAGCGAGACUCUGUCUCCA